rnacentral:misc_RNA from 1 species
UAGGGAGACCUGCUAGAUUUCCACCGAAACCCAAAAAUUAAUCGGGGAAAUCAGCUAUCCCAAGGUCGUUACGAGACCGGAUAAUUUCUGGCUUUCAAACUCUUUGUUCGGUUCAGCAUCAUGUUUUGAUGAACAUGAUGCUAGACAUUAAAAUCGGGAACUAAAACACAGCAACUUAUCUGAAGUCAUCUAUAUAGAGACCAGAAAGACUGCUGGAUUUUAGCCAGCAAUGAACCUUGAAAACUGCAUAAAGAAAAGAAUCAAAGGGAAAACCUUUUAAAUCCAUCGUGAUUUAGAAGGCGUCCAAAAAAGAAGCCCAAAUUGU